UGGACAGGCAUGUUACGAUAAGACUCUGCUAACGUGGCUUUUGCUGCAAAGUGGGAAAUGGUUCUGGGAACUUACAGCUUUAAUAAGAUCAAACAAUGCAUCAAAUGGAGGUCUGAGUUGGAGAUCUGGGCUUCGACCUGCAGAAAUAAGAAUUGAGGCCUGUUGGGUGCUUCGCUGCUGGCAGUGCUCUCUCACGUGCCCUUUCCAGCUGGCUCUCACCUGAUUCUCAGACACCUCUGAGAGCUAGGUGGUGUUCUCGUGUACAUGUUAGAGAUGAGGAAACCCAAUCUCUGACAGCUGUCUAUCCACCUGUUUGGAAGGGGCUGAACUGUGUUCCCCCCAAGCUCAUCUGUUGAAGCUUUAACCCCCAGUACUUCAAAGCAUGUCUUUAUUCAGAGAUAGUCUUUCAAGAGAUAAUUAAGAUGCAGUGAAGUCAUUAGCGUGGGCCCUAAUCCGAUCUGACUGGUGUCCUAACAGGAAGAGGAGAUUAGAACACAGACAUGACCAUGUAAGGACACAGGGAGAAGGCGGCCGUCUGUAAGCCAAGGAGGGAGGCUCAGAAGGAACGAACCCUGCUCACACCUGGAUCCCAGACUUCUAGCUUCCAGGACGGAGAAAAUAAAUGUUGUUGAAGCCGCCUACCCUAUGGUACUUUAUUAUGGAAGCCCUAGCACACUAAUACAUUAAGUCUGUUUCUGGAUGCUGGCAGUCAUUCAGAAACAUUUGCUGAGCACCUCGUACCUGCUGAAUGAACCCACGUGAAGGGGAGCCAGGAGUGCGGAUCAUUAAAAAGCCUGUACUUUCUCAGUCCCCAUUUGACACCACAGAGAGAAAAUGCAUGCUCCUGAUUUGGGUAGAUCUAGAAUGUUCUUAUGAAUAUGGUAGGUGGAGCAAGGGAUCCAGGUUCUUAUGAUACAUGAUAAGAAAGGCCCUAGCUUGGUCAGACACAAAUAAAAGCCAAGCUUUUCAUCUAAACUCCCUUGCACCAUCACCCCCUUACCAACCAGUACAGAGAGCUUAACAUCUCUAUACCAGAUAGUGAAUGUUUCUAAUAAGAAUGGCAAAUUCUUAUUGUGAGAGAGAUAAGGGCAUUCAAGUGUUAAUUCAAGAGAAAUAUGUAUAUGGUUCUUUAAAUGAUUUAUUUACUAACAGCAUUAAGUAUGGUGUAAAGGAAUUUACAUACCCUAAUUCUCGUCUAUAUAUUUUUUUGGAUUUUAAAAUGACAACUUGUCUAAGUUCGCAUUAGUAUUAAGCCCUAACAUGAGACAGUAUUUAUAGCAUAAGAUUUUUGCCACCUAUUUUUAAUUGUAGCGCUGUUUUAUCAAUAAGAUCAAUUAAAGAGUUGAACAUUUGAAAAGAAGAAACAUGAAAAUGAAUUUCUAACUGUACGGUAUUGAAUACAUGAAAGUUCUCUUAAACUUAGUCCAGAGUCUCAAUAAACAUGGUAAGUAUGUAAUAAUUCACAUUUACAACCGCCAUAAAAACUCUAUCAACCAAAUUAUUUUAUGACGUCAAAAUUAUCUGAAAAAAAUUGAGGAACUAAAAUUUUUAAAAAUAGGUUCUCAGUUAGAGCUGUCUAUUAAAAGGAUAAAUUUUAAACUCUCCGGAGCUGGCCUUCCUGGUUCCAGGAGCAGCCUGUUGGCCUUCUCUCGCAAAGCUCAGUUCCUUUCCUCCAUUCCAGAAGACCCUCAAGCCUGUCCCAUGCACCUGGUUUUACAUUUUUAAAUGUUAAAAGGAAGACCACCGUGAAAGAUUGGCAUGUUAAUAGUAGGCUAAGGCGACAGGUGCUGGGGCUCCGGCUUAGAGAUCCCCACAGAUUCCAUGCUCCCAGGGCUGGCUGCAGCCAUCUGCCCCCACCCACCCCCACCCGGCCCAGCCCUCCCCUCCUGGAGGUGGAAUCGUGGCUUGCACAAUCCCCUCUGGGCCCCUGGGGGAGGCGCACCAUAUUGAUUUUUUGGACUUCGUUUCUGUGUGUCUCACCAGUCUUUGCCCGGCACAGUGACUCACUGGCGUCCCUUUCAGGACUUUCUCCCGCCUGAUAACAUCUAAAUGACUCAUGCCUACACCACCUGGAGAGCUCAGGGAAGGCACGGUUUGUUCAGGCCACCCUCACUCCAAGGGCCAGCCCUUUUUUGGAAUAGAAACUAAAAGUUGGUAGCUUCCAUUUGUAGUUCCAUCUAACAGAAGAGCCGACCCACUCACAUUAGCUGGCUCACGACUAAGGCAACCAAUGCCUCCCAGAACAUAGACUCAACUGGCAACCCCGGCACUGAAGGUCAAGGCUUCCUGACACGUGAUGCUACAAUGGAUGGAAUCCAGAGGUGGAUAGGAGAAGCCAGCUGCCUUCUAUUAAACCAGAAAUGAAGAACAUUUGCAGAAAUGUACAACAAUGCCAUGCUUCCCAUUAAUUAUUUUGUUCUUGCUUUAGAAUAUGUCACUUUUCAUUGAAAAAUGUUACUCAUGAUUUUAUGUAAAAGGUUUAUUGUUGUUACUUUUAAAUACAUAUUUUAAGUGUUUUUUAGUUUUGAUUUCUAAUAUGGCAAAAAUUGGUAAAAUCACAUACACAAGGGCUUUUGGGGAUCCUCAAAACUUUUUAAGAGUGUAAAGGGAUCCAGAGACCAAAAGUUUGAUAACCACUAACCAAAAACUUUGACAACCAUCAUCUUGAAGGGUCCUUGGACUUUCUGGAAUUUGGAUCUCCCUUGCCUUGUUCAGUUUUCUCUCUUUUUAGCCAUCUCGUACUUACUGCCAUUUCAGUUCCUAUGUACCUGACUUAUUAAUUAUGCUUAUUGUUUACCAUGUGUGUUCCCCUCCCAUAUAAACUCCAUGAGGACUGAGAUAUUUGUCCAUGAUGUUCAUCAGUGCAUCCCAGGCUGCCUAGAACUGGGCCUGGCCCUUAGCAGGCACUUGUUUUUGGAUGGGAGGGAGGAGAAGGGAGGGGAGAGGGCAAGUUCUUUCAGUGUCUGUAUAAUGGACAGAGCAAGGUGUACCACCUCGGUGUGAUAGAAGAGAUGGAGACAGGAGAAAGGAAGCUCUGCACAGGAUCACGUGGUAGGUGGCAAAGUCAGGGCUCCAUCACAGCUUCUGUUGUCACAUGACUCUGUUAUCUGACCCUUUAAGGCAGCCCCUUCUGCUCCAACAGAGCUUCAGGGUAACUGAGUGCCCCGCAAUUGGUGUUAGC
rnacentral:lncRNA from 1 species